CCUGGCUCAGAACGAACGCUGGCGGCAUGCCUAACACAUGCAAGUCGAACGAGACCUUCGGGUCUAGUGGCGCACGGGUGCGUAACGCGUGGGAAUCUGCCCUUGGGUUCGGGAUAACAGUUGGAAACGACUGCUAAUACCGGAUGAUGUCUUCGGACCAAAGAUUUAUCGCCCAAGGAUGAGCCCGCGUAGGAUUAGCUUGUUGGUGAGGUAAGAGCUCACCAAGGCGACGAUCCUUAGCUGGUCUGAGAGGAUGAUCAGCCACACUGGGACUGAGACACGGCCCAGACUCCUACGGGAGGCAGCAGUGGGGAAUAUUGGACAAUGGGCGAAAGCCUGAUCCAGCAAUGCCGCGUG
rnacentral:rRNA from 1 species